CCUACGGGAGGCAGCAGUGGGGAAUCUUGCGCAAUGGGCGGAAGCCUGAUCCAGCGACGCCGCGUGGAGGACGAAGCCCUUCGGGGUGUAAACUCCUUUUGUCGGGGAAAAAGGGCUGAUGGUACCCGACGAAUAAGCCCCGGCUAACUACGUGCCAGCAGCCGCGGUAAU
rnacentral:rRNA from 1 species